rnacentral:misc_RNA from 1 species
GAUGAAGAACGUAGCGAAAUGCGAUAAGUAAUGUGAAUUGCAGAAUUCAGUGAAUCAUCGAAUCUUUGAACGCACAUUGCGCCCGCCAGUAUUCUGGCGGGCAUGCCUGUUCGAGCGUCAUUUCAACCAUCAAGCCCCAGGCUUGUGUUGGAGCCCUGCGGCUGCCGCAGCCUCCCAAAACCAGUGGCGGGCUCGCUAUCACACCGAGUGCAGUAGUUUACUCUUCGCUCAGGGCGUGUGGCGGGUGCUAGCCGUAAAACCCCCAACUUCUCAAGGUUGACCUCGGAUCAGGUAGGAAUACCCGCUGAACUUAAGCAUAUCAAUAAGAGGAGGA